rnacentral:misc_RNA from 1 species
UACAGAGGGUGCAAGCGUUAAUCGGAAUAACUGGGCGUAAAGGGCGCGUAGAUGGUUUUUUAAGCGGACGUUGAAAGGCAUGGGCUUAACCUGUGUAAGGCGUCUGAACUGAAAGACUAGAGUUCAGUAGAGGGGUGUGGAAUUCUCGAAGUAGCGGUGGAAUGCGUAGAUAUCGGGAGGAACACAAGUGGCGAAGGCGACACUCUGGGCUGCAACUGACGUUGAGGCGCGAAAGCGUGGGUAGCAAACAGG